rnacentral:rRNA from 1 species
AGCGAAUAGAUACCCCGGUAGUCCCAGCCGUAAACGAUGCUCGCUAGGUGUCAGGCAUGGCGCGACCGUGUCUGGUGCCGCAGGGAAGCCGUGAAGCGAGCCACCUGGGAAGUACGGCCGCAAGGCUGAAACUUAAAGGAAUUGGCGGGGAGCACAACAACGGGUGGAGCCUGCGGUUUAAUUGGACUCAACGCCGGACAACUCACCGGGGGCGACAGCACUAUGUAGGCCAGGCUGAAGACCUUGCCUGAAUCGCUGAGAGGAGGUGCAUGGCCGUCGCCAGUUCGUACUGUGAAGCAUCCUGUUAAGUCAGGCAACGAGCGAGACCCGUGCCCACUGUUACCAGCAUGUCCUCCGGGACGAUGGGUACUCUGUGGGGACCGCCGGUGUUAAAUCGGAGGAAGGUGCGGGCCACGGUAGGUCAGUAUGCCCCGAAUCUCCCGGGCUACACGCGGGCUACAAUGGAUGGGACAAUGGGU